rnacentral:rRNA from 1 species
GUCGAUAACGAACGAGACCUCGACCUGCUAAAUAGUUCUGGUCAUCUUCUGAUGGCUGGAUACUUCUUAGAGGGACUAUCGGUGGUUAGCCGAUGGAAGUUCGAGGCAAUAACAGGUCUGUGAUGCCCUUAGAUGUUCUGGGCUGCACGCGCGCUACACUGAUACGUUCAUCGAGCUCCUACCUUGACUGGAAAGUCUGGGUAAUCUUCGCAACAUGCAUCGUGCUGGGGAUAGAUUAUUGUAAUUAUUAAUCUUCAACGAGGAAUUCCUAGUAAACGCAAGUCAUCAACUUGCAUUGAUUACGUCCCUGCCCUUUGUACACACCGCCCGUCGCUAGUACCGAUUGAAUGGGUCU